rnacentral:rRNA from 1 species
GCCCAACUGUAAAUUUUAGCCAAAAAAGUACGAGCUCCGCUUAAAACUUUAAGGACCUGGCGGUACUCUACAUCAGUCUAGAGGGGUCCGCCCUGUAACCGAUGAUCCCCGGAAAACCUUACCACCCCUUGCCAUCAGCCUAUAUACCGCCGUCUCCAGCACAUUUCACAAAAAAUGAAGCAAAACAGCCCACACACUAGCACGUCAGGUCGAGGUGUAGCCAAUGAGGUGGGUUGAGGUGGACCACAAUACCAAAAACACAGAAACCACCCUGAAACGCAUGGUGAAAGACGAAUUUAGAAGUAAGUAGGAACGAAUGCCCUACUGAACACCCCGCCCUAGAGUACGC